rnacentral:rRNA from 1 species
CUACAGGGGUUUCUAAUCCUGUUCGCUCCCCACGCUUUCGCUCCUCAGCGUCAGUAACGGCCCAGAGACCCGCCUUCGCCACCGGUGUUCCUCCUGAUAUCUGCGCAUUCCACCGCUACACCAGGAGUUCCAGCCUCCCCUGCCGCACUCCAGCCGACCCGUACCCACCGCAAGCCCCCGGUUGAGCCGGAGGAUUUCACGACGGACGCGGCCGGCCGCCUACAAGCCCUUUACGCCCAAUAAUUCCGGACAACGCUCGCGCCCUACGUAUUACCGCGGCUGCUGGCAC